UCCCCUUUUUGCUUUGCUUGCCUGUGCAGCUUUUGCUUUGCCUAUUAAGUGGUCUUUAUGGGAACUCAUGAGUUUUCCAGCUUUUACCCUUCUGAUUCUCUCCUCAAUCCAACUGGUGGAGAGUGAGUGGCUGCCUGGGGCUUGGUUGCUGGCUGGGGUUAAACCAUGACAGCCAGUCAACACCAGCUGUUGAGGCUGGACAUCAGGUCACAAAGGAAUCAAGUUAGAGCUCUUUCUGCUGAGACUGAAAUAAUCUAUGUGAUUUUAUGGAAUCAGUCCAGCCAAGUCAAUCCAGUUGCUGCAUCCUGGAAAUUCUUGUUACUGUGUGAAUUCUUACAGUCCUCAUUUGGGCUGCCAGUUUUGAGAACAGUUUGUAAAGAUGGUGUGACAGUUGUCCUGAAUGAAUCUCUGGAGAUGAAAAGACAUGUCCAGUUUUCUUUUGGUGGUGCUGAUAUUGGUUUGCUGGGCUCCUUUCAUGCUUCUGGCCUAGGUGACACCUGUUACUUGCUGCUUGGAAAGGGAAUGUGAAGGUCAAUUAUUGGUUGUCUGGUUGGAGUGAUAACUGGAGAUCUCUACUUCAAAAUUCAGGCAGUCUUUGCAGCAGGAGCGAAGACAUGGAGAUGUCUUUGAGGAGGACACCUAUGGCACACCUAUUUUUGGACUUGUCACCCAAAAAAAAGCUCACACCGAGGGCUGGUUGACUGGUUUACCUAGUCCAAGGGAAGAAGUGUGAUAGGUCUUGAGAAACAGCAGAGUACUUUUCAAAGGAAUAGGUGGAAAGCCCUCUGAAAACAUUGUCUGCGCCGAUUCCUGUACCGAAUCCUUUCCAGCGCUAGGGGCAGACCUGGAGCCCUUUUAGCUCCUGGUAGCAGGAGAGUUCACCUUCUCCCUUCUGUCCGUUUUGUACGAAUCUGCCAUCUCCAUGUCACCAGUGCAAGAGAUUUACUUGAAAAUUAAUGCCAAGAGCCACUGGCUGCUCCAGGUGCACCUUAAUUCCACACUGGGAUGUACCUCAGGCUUCACAGGAAAAGAGAGUUUCACAGAAGAAUCCAAAGGAGGAUAGAGAGAUGGCUGCAGAUAUUUAUGGGAAGUUCUUCCCACACAUGAAGGUAGCCUGGGAGAAAUGCAAAGCAAGUUCAUAUAUGGACAUUGAAAGCUGACACUAUCUGAUCAGACCUGCUUCUUCAAGCAAAUCAGCGAAAAAAGAUAAUAAUACCUUAGAUAAUAAAUAAAAUAACAUGGGUGAGUUCCAUGUGCAGCAGUGUUUUUGAGCCUGAGGUCCUUAGACCCAGAACAGUUUUAAAUGAAAAGAUGUCACCAAUCAAACUGUAGAAUAACUUGUUGCAAGUAUGUCUCGGUGGAUGUCAGGUAUCUUGAAAGGAUUUAUGUAGUACUUUAUGUAAAUACUACACUUUUACUUUAUGGAAAUGUCUUGCUGAUUGCUAUGAACUUUUUUGAGAUACAUCCUGGAGAUAACAAUGCAGGUGUCUUUUAUCAUGUGCAAAGGAUCUUGUCAAGGAGUCUUCCAUUUGUAUCCUUCCAUGCCUAGGCUGAAGCAGUGGUGUAGUGUGUUUUUUCCAUGAGAUAGAGUGUGAGAAUGUGAGUCUAUCAUUCUGCAGUUCUUUAGUUCCCGGUGCCUGUAAGGGUACUUAAGGUGACUAUGAGAACUCCAGCACAAAAUCUGCUAGAAUGUUUAGGUAGGUGUUAUAUUACUUGCUCCUUAACAGGUCUCGUCUAAUAAAACAAAGCUGUCAUGAAAAUUUUCUUCCCUAAUGAGUUGUGCUGGUUUGGAAUGGCCACUCAUGUGCAAGAGUCAGCAUCUGUCCUACACUUACAAAGCUCUAUCUGCCUCAUCCGUGACCAGUGGCAGGGAAUCUUAUCAUCAACUUGAACUUUGGAUCAGACCCUGAAGGGCCCUCUGGAUUUACUGAGGCCAACAAGUUUAGAACUACCUGGUUACUUAUUCAUUAAAUGGGAUUUUUCAUUGCGUGUUGGCAAUAACCCUUUUUUGUUUGUUUGUUUUAAAUAAUUUCCCCCCCUAUCAUAUCAUGAGUGUUGUCACUGUAUGAGCCAAAGGUUUUGCCAGAGUUCCUGCUCAUGGAGGAAGAGACCUUUCCUGAUGGCUCUUAGUGAUGGUGCUGGACCCAACUGCACCUGAGGAGCAAAGCCUGAUGUUCCAGAGGUAACACCAAGCACAAAACCCCCUGCAAUUCCUGAACAAUUGUAGCACACUGGUCCUUGUUAUCUGUGCUAUGUAAAUACCACAUGGUCCUGCCUACAGAGAAAGAACCAACAACCACUGAAGAUCACAAGAACAUGGGAAGAUCCAAAAUUAAUUUAUAUGAUAUGUUCAGUAUGACAGCUUGCAAUUGUCAUUGCUUUAUUCAAUAAAUUAUACAUCCUCUCUUUAAACAAAUACACAUAGAAAUUUAAAAAAAAUCCUAAAUACUCUAGUAAUCUAUGGCUUGUGAGCAUUAGUGCCUUUUCCUAAAUGGUUGGAAAAAGGAGUCAGACCCCUUGAUCCAUUCAGUAAAAUGAAGUACAUCAAAUUUUAGCUGUGAGAGAGAUUCUUAGAUUCACUUCUAAUUAAUUCAGUGGGAGCAAAACUGAUUGUGGGGAAUGAUGCAGAGGAGAUGUGAGAAAACUCCUGGAAAUAACUUGCAGUAAUAAAGAUAAUAAAAUGAGGUCUUGAAGUACAUCUAAUUUCUAUUCUAAGUCUAUUGCUAUCAGAUCCAGCAU